rnacentral:lncRNA from 1 species
GACGACUGGUGCGCAGCCGUGGUUUUUGUUCUGAUACUGUUUCUUUGACUUGGAAUCUUUAUUUCUCAGUUACUGCAGACUGAAAACAAAAAGCCUGACAUCAAAGCACAGUUUAACAAUGUGCCUCAAACAGUAACUCUCAGCGUCCAAAACCACCACCACCUUGCAUGUGUUCUUGAUUACUGUGGUGGAUUAAGGAUGGCCGCAAAUUCUUUGACAAUCCCUUCAUCAAGAGACGGGAUCUAUUUCCCUUGCCCUUUCUUCUGGGCUGGCCUGUGAUUGUUUUGACAAACAACUUAUGGGAGAAGUGAUGUGCAUAACCUCCCCCCACAGCAUCUUGCCCCUGAACCCAAGGGGUCGAGACUCUGGUAAUGGAUGCUCCAUCUGACGGCCUGGUCCCUGAGGGGUGCCAUGAUGCAUUGUCUAGUCACUGAGGGUAUUUAAAUUAUUCAAUUUGAACCGUCCUCCUCGUGGAAGAGAUUAAAUCCCAACAAGCAGAAAGAUGUGUGAGAAGCAGGGGAGCAAAAAUCUGUCAACAGG